rnacentral:rRNA from 1 species
AUUGAACGCUGGCGGCAGGCCUAACACAUGCAAGUCGAGCGAGCGGCGGACGGGUGAGUAAUGUAUGGGAAACUGCCCGAUGGAGGGGGAUAACUACUGGAAACGGUGGCUAAUACCGCAUACUGUCAGAUGAGCCCAGAGGGGAUUAGCUAGUAGGUGAGGUAACGGCUUACCUAGGCGACGAUCCCUAGCUGGUCUGAGAGGAUGAUCAGCCACACUGGGACUGAGACACGGUCCAGACUCCUACGGGAGGCAGCAGUGGGGAAUAUUGCACAAUGGGCGCAAGCCUGAUGCAGCCAUGCCGCGUGUAUGAAGAAGGCCUUAGGGUUGUAAAGCACUUUCAGCGGGGAGGCGUUACCCGCAGAAGAAGCACCGGCUAACUCCGUGCCAGCAGCCGCGGUAAUAC